rnacentral:rRNA from 1 species
AGGAAGGAAAGCUUGCUUUUCUUGACUUAGUGGCGAACGGGUGAGUAACGCGUGAGUAACCUGCCCUGGAGUGGGGGACAACAGUUGGAAACGACUGCUAAUACCGCAUAAGCCCACGGCUCGGCAUCGAGCAGAGGGAAAAGGAGUGAUCCGCUUUGAGAUGGCCUCGCGUCCGAUUAGCUAGUAGGUGGGGUAACGGCCUACCUAGGCGACGAUCAGUAGCCGACCUGAGAGGGUGAUCGGCCACAUUGGAACUGAGACACAGUCCAAACUCC